GAUGAACGCUGGCGGCGUGCCUAAUACAUGCAAGUCGAGCGAACGGGCGAUAAGCUUGCUUCUCUGAUGUUAGCGGCGGACGGGUGAGUAAGACGUGGAUCACCCACCUAUAAGACUGUGAUAACUGCGGGAAACCGGUACUAAUACCGGAUACUAUUUUGAACCGCAUGGUUCGAAAGUGAAAGACGGUCUUGCUGUCACUUAUAGAUGUCUCCUCGCUGCAUUAGCUAGUUGGUAAGGUAACGGCUUACCAAGGCAACGAUGCAUAGCCGACCUGAUAGGGUGAUGGGCCACACUGGAACUGAGAAACGGUCAAGAGUCCUAGGGGAGGCAGCGGUAGGGAAGCUUGGGAAAUGGGCGAAAGCCUGAAGGAGCAACGCCGCGUGAGUGCGGAAGGUCCGCGGAUCGUAAGACUGUGUUAUUAGGGAAGAACAUAUGUGUAAGUAACUGUGCACAUCUUGACGGUACCUAAUGAGAAAGCCCCGGCUAACUACGUG
rnacentral:rRNA from 1 species